GUAAGGUUUCUGGGGUUUGCAAGGUGUGGUAUGCGCGAUGGCUUCUCAGCCUAGCGCGGAGGAGACGCUGUCGAUACGGCAUGGAUUCAGGUGUGUUCCUGAGAAUGGAGUUAAGGUGGAGGAGGUUCUGCUCGCGGUCAGCGAACAGGACUAGAGACCACAGCAGCGAUUCUGCUCUUGCCCAACCUCUUCAAUGAGGACCCGAGUGGCCUUUAUGUCCGUGACAAGAUUUCACCGCUCUUCACUCCUUUACUGCACAUCGGUGGAAAUCCAUUUCACCAUGAGAGUUAAAUCCCGCUGGCCAUUGAUGGGGAGAACAUCCACGCCUUCGAGGACGUCCCUGUGGGACUUGGGGCUCUGCUACGGAUGGAUUUUUAUUUUCCCUUAAAUUUCCCCAAAAUGUCAGAAAAACACUUAUGUUGUUAAAUUACUG
rnacentral:lncRNA from 1 species